GUGCUCAAUUCAGCAUCACAUACACUCACAUUGGAACGAUACAGAGAUUAGCAUGGAACCUGCACAAGGAUGACAUGCAAAUUCGUGGAGCGUUCCAUAUUUUU